UACAGAGGUCCCAAGCGUUGUUCGGAUUCAUUGGGCGUAAAGGGUGCGUAGGUGGUCGGGUAAGUCUGAUGUGAAAUCUCUGGGCUCAACCCAGAAAUGGCAUUGGAUUCUAUUCGGCUAGAGAGUUGGAGGGGGGACUGGAAUUCUCGGUGUAGCAGUGAAAUGCGUAGAUAUCGAGAGGAACACCAGUGGCGAAGGCGAGUCCCUGGACAACUUCUGACACUGAGGCACGAAAGCUAGGGGAGCAAACAGG
rnacentral:rRNA from 1 species